rnacentral:rRNA from 1 species
AGUCGAGGGGUAUGCUUCUUCGGGAGCAGAGACCGGCGCACGGGUGCGUAACGCGUAUGCAAUCUACCUUUUACAGAGGGAUAGCCCAGAGAAAUUUGGAUUAAUACCUCAUAGUAUAUAGACUCGGCAUCGAGAUUAUAUUAAAGUCACAACGGUAAAAGAUGAGCAUGCGUCCCAUUAGCUAGUUGGUAAGGUAACGGCUUACCAAGGCUACGAUGGGUAGGGGUCCUGAGAGGGAGAUCCCCCACACUGGUACUGAGACACGGACCAGACUCCUACGGGAGGCAGCAGUGAGGAAUAUUGGACAAUGGGCGCAAGCCUGAUCCAGCCAUGCCGCGUGCAGGAUGACGGUCCUAUGGAUUGUAAACUGCUUUUGUACAGGAAGAAACACUGGUUCGUGAACCAGCUUGACGGUACUGUAAGAAUAAGGAUCGGCUAACUCCGUGCCAGCAGCCGCGGUAAUACGGAGGAUCCAAGCGUUAUCCGGAAUCAUUGGGUUUAAAGGGUCCGUAGGCGGUUUAAUAAGUCAGUGGUGAAAGCCCAUCGCUCAACGGUGGAACGGCCAUUGAUACUGUUAAACUUGAAUUAUUAGGAAGUAACUAGAAUAUGUAGUGUAGCGGUGAAAUGCUUAGAGAUUACAUGGAAUACCAAUUGCGAAGGCAGGUUACUACUAAUUGAUUGACGCUGAUGG